rnacentral:rRNA from 1 species
AACGAACGCUGGCGGCAGGCUUAACACAUGCAAGUCGAACGCCCCGCAAGGGGAGUGGCAGACGGGUGAGUAACGCGUGGGAAUCUACCCAGAUCUUCGGAACAACUGAGGGAAACUUCAGCUAAUACCGGAUACGCCCUACGGGGGAAAGAUUUAUCGGUUCUGGAUGAGCCCGCGUUGGAUUAGCUAGUUGGUGGGGUAAUGGCCUACCAAGGCGACGAUCCAUAGCUGGUGUGAGAGGAUGAUCAGCCACACUGGGACUGAGACACGGCCCAGGCUCGUACGUGAGGCAGCUGUGGGGAACAUUGGACAAUGGGCGCAAGCCUGAUCCAGCCAUGCCGCGUGAGUGAUGAAGGCCUUAGGGUUGUAAAGCUCUUUCACCGGAGAAGAUAAUGACGGUAUCCGGAGAAGAAGCCCCGGCUAACUUCGUGCCAGCCGCCGCCGUAACAC